AGAGUUUGAUCAUGGCUCAGAUUGAACGCUGGCGGCAGGCCUAACACAUGCAAGUCGAGCGGUAGCACAGAGAGCUUGCUCUCGGGUGACGAGCGGCGGACGGGUGAGUAAUGUCUGGGAAACUGCCUGAUGGAGGGGGAUAACUACUGGAAACGGUAGCUAAUACCGCAUAACGUCGCAAGACCAAAGUGGGGGACCUUCGGGCCUCAUGCCAUCAGAUGUGCCCAGAUGGGAUUAGCUAGUAGGUGGGGUAACGGCUCACCUAGGCGACGAUCCCUAGCUGGUCUGAGAGGAUGACCAGCCACACUGGAACUGAGACACGGUCCAGACUCCUACGGGAGGCAGCAGUGGGGAAUAUUGCACAAUGGGCGCAAGCCUGAUGCAGCCAUGCCGCGUGUGUGAAGAAGGCCUUCGGGUUGUAAAGCACUUUCAGCGGGGAGGAAGGCGAUAAGGUUAAUAACCUUGUCGAUUGACGUUACCCGCAGAAGAAGCACCGGCUAACUCCGUGCCAGCAGCCGCGGUAAUACGGAGGGUGCAAGCGUUAAUCGGAAUUACUGGGCGUAAAGCGCACGCAGGCGGUCUGUCAAGUCGGAUGUGAAAUCCCCGGGCUCAACCUGGGAACUGCAUUCGAAACUGGCAGGCUAGAGUCUUGUAGAGGGGGGUAGAAUUCCAGGUGUAGCGGUGAAAUGCGUAGAGAUCUGGAGGAAUACCGGUGGCGAAGGCGGCCCCCUGGACAAAGACUGACGCUCAGGUGCGAAAGCGUGGGGAGCAAACAGGAUUAGAUACCCUGGUAGUCCACGCCGUAAACGAUGUCGAUUUGGAGGUUGUGCCCUUGAGGCGUGGCUUCCGGAGCUAACGCGUUAAAUCGACCGCCUGGGGAGUACGGCCGCAAGGUUAAAACUCAAAUGAAUUGACGGGGGCCCGCACAAGCGGUGGAGCAUGUGGUUUAAUUCGAUGCAACGCGAAGAACCUUACCUGGUCUUGACAUCCACAGAACUUUCCAGAGAUGGAUUGGUGCCUUCGGGAACUGUGAGACAGGUGCUGCAUGGCUGUCGUCAGCUCGUGUUGUGAAAUGUUGGGUUAAGUCCCGCAACGAGCGCAACCCUUAUCCUUUGUUGCCAGCGGUCCGGCCGGGAACUCAAAGGAGACUGCCAGUGAUAAACUGGAGGAAGGUGGGGAUGACGUCAAGUCAUCAUGGCCCUUACGACCAGGGCUACACACGUGCUACAAUGGCAUAUACAAAGAGAAGCGACCUCGCGAGAGCAAGCGGACCUCAUAAAGUAUGUCGUAGUCCGGAUUGGAGUCUGCAACUCGACUCCAUGAAGUCGGAAUCGCUAGUAAUCGUAGAUCAGA
rnacentral:rRNA from 1 species